rnacentral:rRNA from 1 species
AACGAACGCUGGCGGCAGGCUUAACACAAGCAAGUCGAACGCCCCGCAAGGGGAGUGGCAGACGGGUGAGUAACGCGUGGGAAUCUACCGUACCCUACGGAAUAACGCAGGGAAACGUGUGCUAAUACCGUAUACGCCCUACGGGGGAAAGAUGUAUCGGGGUAUGAUGAGCCCGCGUUGGAUUAGCGAGUUGGUGGGGUAAAGGCCUACCAAGGCGACGAUCCAUAGCUGGUCUGAGAGGAUGAUCAGCCACAUUGGGACUGAGACACGGCCCAAACUCCUACGGGAGGCAGCAGUGGGGAAUAUUGGACAAUGGGCGCAAGCCUGAUCCAGCCAUGCCGCGUGAGUGAUGAAGGUCUUAGGAUUGUAAAGCUCUUUCACCGGAGAAGAUAACGACGGUAUCCGGAGAAGAAGCCCCGGCUAACUUCGUGCCAGCCGCCGCAGUAACAC